rnacentral:rRNA from 1 species
UACGAAGGGGGCUAGCGUUGUUCGGAAUUACUGGGCGUAAAGCGCGCGCAGGCGGCUAUCCAAGUCAGUGGUGAAAGCCCGGAGCUCAACUCCGGAACUGCCAUUGAAACUGUUUAGCUUGAGGACGAGAGAGGUGAGUGGAAUUCCCAGUGUAGAGGUGAAAUUCGUAGAUAUUGGGAAGAACACCGGUGGCGAAGGCGGCUACACUGGCUCGUAGUCGACGCUCAGGCGCGACAGCGUGGGGAUCGAAACAAGGAUUAGA